ACGCAACAGCGCCGAUGAUAGUGUGGGGUUUCCCCAUGUGAAAGUAGGUCACUGCCAGGC
rnacentral:rRNA from 1 species